CGCUGGCUGCUCCCGCUCGCCUCUUGGGGUGCGCUCGGCUCCAGCCCAACUCCGCCAGCUCCGCCGGCUCCAGCACCGCUCCAACCCGAUUCCAGCCGGAUUCCAGCCCGAUUCCAGCCCGGUUCCAGCCCGAUUCCAGCCCGGUUCCAGCCCAGCUCCGUCCCGGCUCCGGUUCUUCUCCGCCACGCCUCUCGGUCGACGCUGAGGAGCAGCUUCGCAGGAAAAUCCCAGAAACCUUUGCAAAAAGCUUACAAUGAAAUUUAAGAAGUUCUACGAUUUCGGCGCCAUUUUCGAGUGGAGUGAGAGUAUUGGAAAAGUUUGGCUGGAAGCGAAUGACCCUCUCUAGAAGUGACCAGACAUCUCUUUGUGCUCUCUUUUGGUGACCAUCGAUGGUUUUUUCCUCCACAAUUCCGUGUCCAUGUAAAAAUGACUUGUAAUAUAGCCAAGAAAAGACGGAAUUUUCAUUCCAACUUAAGGAGUGGGGCUGUUAUUAUUAAUGGCUUUAUUUAUCAUGACCUAAGCAAUGCAUAUGUUAGCACUGGAUCAUUAUCUGUUAUGUUAGGAAUUUUGUAUUUAGUUUAAUUACAUACUCUGUAUAUUUUAUUAAUUAAUUAAAAGGACCCAGCAUUCAUUGUACUAGUUUCGAAAAACGGACAUAAUUUUAAAUGAGAAUACAGGAAAUUUGUAUACAGAAUGUUUUUUGCUUUCAAAGGCACUGUAGUUUUGUUGUUUUAGUUAUUAGGUUUGUGGUUAAGGACUAAAGGAUGGUUUUUGUGCUUUCCUGAAUGCUUUGUUUAAACAAGGAAAUGAAUGUAACUUGUUGCUCAUGUGUGUCCAUUUUGAAAAGCAACAGUGGGAGCUGAGGAGAGCGCACAGUGCCGGCCAUUUCAAGACAAGAUUUUCAGUGGCGUGGCUUAAGAAGGAGUGAUUUGUAUUUAACAUCAAGUAUUUAAGGAUGUCAUUUAUUUAAAGUUCUUGAUUUGUGAUUUGAUGUCGAUGGUAACAAAUGUCUUUAUAAAUAAGCUUGAGUAGCCAGCAAUGUAUGAGAACAUCCAGGAAUGUAUGUUUCAUCUAGAACAUUCUCAUGCUUUGUCCUUAAAAAUAACUAAUGACGAGGUGAUUACUGUAAGAACGGAGGAAACUACUAGACAAGUCUAUUCCAUGCCUAUAGUAUUCAGUAAAACCAACUGGGACUACCCAGAGGGAUUUUUUUUUGAUUAUCAAAAGUUCCUUGCACCAAUUUCCAAUAAAUGAUCAAAACCCGGGGACAAUAAAUGAGACUUAUACAAGGUAGCAGGAAGUUUCACCAAGACUUUGGAGCUGGCAAGAGUGAUCCAGAUGUUACCAAAUUGUCUCAGUUUAUUUAAUCCCACUUUUCAUCUACUUUCUGAGGUACCCCAGAGCGGCCCCCACCCUCGUUGACUCCGAAGGGCUGCAGCAGCAAUUCAUGUUUUGGAGUAUUGCCAAGGUUCAAAACAUGAAGCGCUGCAACACCCCUUCGUGGGGAAUGUAGAAGGUGGGGACCUGCUGAACAGACCUGUGUGGGUUCUACUAAAAGCCCUAAAGCAGUUUAGGAAAGAUUAAGGGGUCCGUGGGAGUGUCCCUGGAUCUCUUCGUGUCUUGCUGGUGCGGACCCCCAGGUGGUACAAUGAGAGGCAAUGGCCCAACAGGAAGCCUCAGUGAGGCUCUGCAUUUCUAGUCCCCAUUUAUCCCCCUUUCCCAAAGUCAUCACACAAUUCUACAUGGCAGUGGGGACAUGGGGACACCCUUGUCACUGCCUAGAAGUCUCUGAGAAAAUGGCUGCUUUGUGACAUCCCAAACUCUGCUGUGAUUAAUCAUGGCACCUCCGUUUCCCUGAGGAGCCCUUUGAGCCUGGAGUGAAAAAAAAAAACAGGUCAAGAGGCGCCUGGGAACUGGAGAAGAGUGUUAAACUUCUGGAGCAAGACUGUACUUUUCCUGUGAAAAUCACUUUCCAUAAUCUGGAGUAUAGGCAUGUAAAGGACUGUUGGAAAACGGAGUGUGGGUGAAAUCGUGCUGCUUUGUCUUAUUAAAAAGAAAUAAAAUACAUGUACACACACCCUUCUGGUCUGUAUGAACUGCUUGUCAUCUUCCCCAGGGACUGGGUGCAGGCCCCCAUAAAAGGUACAGUUAGAGGAGGCCUUGUGAGCCUGGGAGUCUAGCUCUAGCCACCAAAUGCCUUUCUCCCAGACUCCUUUGCGUUUGAACAAGGUGUGGGAGGUGGUUUGGGUCCCGUUGGGCCCCCAAGGACCCCCUGGCUCCCAGGAGCACUGAAACCCCUUGGAACUUAAGCCACGCCUUGCCCCCAUCUCCUUGGCUUCUUGAAGCCACGCCCCCCAGCUCCUGCCUCACCCCUCCCCUUGGCAGGGCCCCUCUGGCCCGGAAUCCCCAAGACAAAUGGCUAACAGGUUCAGGCGCCCCGCGUUCCUAUGCGCAGGGUUGGAGGAGGGGCACUUUGAGACUUCCUAUUCUCCCUCACCAACUUCCCUUCUCCAUCUCCACUGUUCAACAGGGCUUUGCCUUAUGCCAGAGGAAGAGCGCCGGGGCUCACUGAAGGCCCCCACUCACCCAGAAGAAUCUGGCCUGCGCCAUCUGGCUGCUUCCAGUGGGUGCCUGCAAGAUUCAAGUGAGAUUCAGGAAUACUUCUGAAGGCAUCUUCUGCUAGCCAUAUUGGUUUGGUUUGGUUUGGUUUUCCAACAAGGGAACACUACAUCAACAAUCUUGGGGAUGUGGACACAGAAGACUCCUGUUCCAAGAAAGUACAAUCAUCUUUCAAAAACUGUAAUUUAUAUGCGUUUUACCACACUAGAUAUUGAAAACCACCCAACUAGGGGGGUACAGUAUAUAACCAGUCACUAGUGUAAUAUUGUAUACCUUUUUAAAAUGUUAUUGGAAAGUGUUUUAUGAUCUGUAAGUCAAAUAAUCCGGCCCCACCGUUUUCAUUUUUCCUGCUAUUCCCCCAAAUCUAGGCUCCUUUGUUCCAGUUGGCAUGUAAACUUGUUUUUUCCACCAAAUGAGUCAGUCCUGAUAGAAGCGUCAAUUGAUUUGAACAGAUGUGUGUCAAUGUUACUUGGAAAAACUAGAUGCCAAUAACCAGGGCCACAGAAAAAGUCAGCAAAUGUAAUUGUGUAAAGCAUUUAUGCAUGCACGCAGACAAGGAGAAAAGUUGAAUCCUAAACAGGAAAACAUUUGGAUACACUCCAGUGCUGGGAGACCAAAUAAUUCUGUGUUGCUUUUGAUGUCCAGUAACAUGGGCAACUGUCCAAUUAAACAAACACCCAAGAAGGACUCUGCAAUGCCCAUUAUUUUACUGAUUAUUCUAAAGCACCAUACCUGUCAAUCCAUUGAGGAGGAGGGAACAGCAAGGGAAACAUGAUGAAUCUACACGACAUAAAUUAAUUAAUAGGCAGAUUUCCUGAGAGACGGUGCAGAUUAAAAAAAAAAUACAAAUAGGUUCAAAAAGUAUGCUUCAGGAAGAUCAAUGAAUAUAUAUUGAUAGAGAUCAAAAGACUUGAGCUGUGGGCAUUACCAAGUUAACAUUAAUUUCUAGAGAUCUAUUUUCCCGUUGUCCAGAAGCAUUUCUCAUGAUGCCAGAAACUUAUACGUUCAUCUUUAUGUAGAGUUAUUGUAUGCCUCUUAAAACGAAACACAGUAUGUAUACACCAAUCAUAGCAAAUCUGUAUCUCCGAGGCCCAGUUCAGCCUGCCUUAUGCCCAUCCAUUGAGCUAGGAUCUCCUGGCUCUGUCCUAAUAUUUCACUCAUCUGUUUCCUGCACUGGGUCCACAAUUGAUAUCCUCCUCAAGUUUAAAGGGGCUUAGAGCCUUGUGGGAGGAGCCUCUAACGAUUUCCAUUUCCUGUGGUCCCUCAGCCUUGGAGCACUCCCCUUUACUCUUGAGCUCUGUCUUCGGAGCAAGUGGUGAAAAUUGAAAAGCGUGCCCCC
rnacentral:lncRNA from 1 species